rnacentral:lncRNA from 1 species
GACCUGACAUUGCCUUCGCUGUAGGGCAAGCGUCCCAGUUUUGUCAAAAUCUUGGUGAUGGACACUGGAACGGUGUAAAGAGGAUCUUUGCCUACCUAGCUGGAUCUACCCACCUUGGCCUUUGUUUUGAUGGACAGCAGAGUAACAAUCUAAUAGGAUUCACUGACUCAGACUUUGCAGGGAACAUGGAUAACCGCCGGUCAACCAGUGGCUUCGUUUUCCUGUUUAAUGGAGCCCCAGUAUCAUGGAGCAGCAAACUUCAACAAUGCGUCUCCCUUUCAACAACCGAAGCCGAAUUCGUGGCAGCCAGCGAAACGUCAAAAGAAGCUAUUUGGCUGCAGCAACUUCUGAAAGAAGUAAAAGGCGAUGACAUCGGUCCAGUUCCUAUACUCUGUGAUAACCAAGGAGCCAUCCGACUAAUCAAGAAUCCAGAGUUCCACCAACGCACCAAGCAUAUAGCGGUCAAGUAUCACUUCGUUCGACACCAACAGCUCAACGGCAACAUCGAGGUGUCAUAUGUCUCAACGGAAAACCAGUUGGCUGAUAUUCUGACAAAACCAGUUCCAGGACCUCGGUUCAUUCUCCUGCGUGAACAGAUUGGAAUAAAAUCACUUCCUCAAACCCACACAGUUUGAGAGGAGGUGUUGGAGAUAUUGUCAAACCGUGGUGGUUGCGUAACCCUACCCAACUGUUUAGCACCACCUUCUCUGUUCUCAUCCCUUUAAGUGCUGUCAAUGUCUGAUGUGUAUGACUGUCUGGUGCUCUACUUGAUGAUAGUGAUUUGUACUGACAGACAUGUCGUAACUAGAUAUAAAGACUGCUUUCCUGUACGGCGAAAUAGAAGAAGAAAUUUAUCUCGAGCAACCCGAAGGAUAUAUCCAAGCCGGAAAAGAAAAUUCCGUAUGCCGCCUCCAGAAAUGUUUGUAUGGCCUCAAACAAGCUUCACGAGUCUGGAACCGUCAUUUUGAUAGUUUCCUCAAACGUUUUGGCCUCCAAUCAAGUGACGCCGAUCCGUGCCUUUAUUUCCGUCGAAACAACAAAGAAGUUCUUUUCGUCCUAAUCUGGGUUGAUGAUGGAUUGGUUAUCAGUGUUGACGGGAAUCUGGUAAAACAAGUAAUUGAAUAUUUGAAGAAAUAUUUUGAAAUGCGGUGCACCCCUGCUAAUCAUUUUGUUGGCAUCUCCAUUACAAGAAACAGAAGAGACAAAAUUCUUUACUUAUCCCAACCAGAUUACAUUAAGAAAAUUCUAAAGAAAUUCCACAUAAUAGACUGUCAUCCUAAAAACCUUCCAGCUGAACCCGGAUGUCGUCUUAUUCAAAAUGUUGGUGAAGACCCCCUAGACAAUGUGCCAUAUAGAGAGGCAAUUGGAAGCCUGCUAUACUUGACAAUUAUAUCUAGGCCGGACAUCGCAUUUGCAGUUGGUCAAGCGGCACAGUUCUCUGAAAAACCCCAGAAACAUCAUUGGAUUGCAGUUCGAAGAAUUUUUUCAUACCUUAAAGGGACGCAAGACUAUGGCAUACGCUUUGGCAUCAAUCACGAUCGUCUUAAAAGAUACUCAGAUUCAGAUUUCGCCGGUGACUUAAAUUCCCGAAGAUCAACCACGGCUUUCAUCUUCAUCCUAAAUGGUGGGCCAGUAGCAUGGACCAGUCGCAGACAACCAUGUGUUACAUUGUCCUCAACAGAAUCGGAAUUUGUGGCUGCGUGUGAAGCCGCCAAAGAGGCAAUCUGGUUAAAACGCUUGAUGAAGGAUGUCAUACCGGAAUGGGAUGAAACUAUUCCUCUAAUGUGCGACAAUCAAUCUACUAUCCAGCUCAUCAGAAAUCCUGUAUUCCAUCAACGGACCAAACACAUUGAUGUCAAAUAUUACUUUGUUCGCGAGAGACAAGAAGCUGGGGACAUUGACGUCUCGUAUAUCUCAACAAAUGAUCAACUAGCAGAUCCUCUAACAAAAAUUCUUCCUAAUCCACGAUUUUCUAUCCUACGGGAGUUAAUGGGAAUUUUACCUGUCCCAUUAGAGCACAAUUAAUUUUCUUCUCUAAUUCUUUAGAUUAAAACUUACAUCUGUUCGAAGGAUACUCAGACUGCCCUACAUCCCAUUAGAUGAAAUAAUGAGAAGAAACCUUGCAACAAUAAUUUACUUAAUUUUAUUUUUGUCACUGAUUUCUUUUUCAUCUUCAUACAUGUUUGAGAGGGAGUGUUGAGGGAAAACAAACAUGUAAAAGUAAACUGGCCACCAGGUGGUACCAACCACCAGGUAGCACUGACUUAUGUAGGCUAACUAGAAGUAUCUUAGGAUACUGUUUAGCUACCUCCUCUCUCUCUCAUCUCUUGUCACUUGUGUUAGUAACGACGUAAAUCUAUUCUCUCGUCACGUCACUGCCAAAUACAAGUGUCAUAUUUUCUACAUUAUCUGGUAUCUGUCCUUAUCUUUGUUCGUGUGUUUCCUGAUUUUCGGCAACAGCCGCAAAUGGAACCGGGCCAAACCCGAAGAGAACUAGGCUCCACCCCUUUCAAGGGCAAGAUGUGGGGGAAACCGGCGAAAAGCAGGAAAACGGGGCUGUGAUUGCAUAGUAGUUCUUGACCUACUGUGCAAAUUUGAAUAAAAUCGGAGGUUUCAUCGCGCCACCGAUUUGUGGAGUUGGCGCGGAUUGACCCAUCAACCCUACUCUACUCUCCAGAUUUGCUUCGCACUCACCUCAAUGAAUGCAUAGCGAAAGGUUAUCUUUCUCCGUUUCCUUCAACUAUCUGUCGCAUUAAGAGAGCUCGAAAAGAGUCAGUUCUUUCCGAGUCGGUCUUUUGCCAAUGUCGUAGAACAUCGUACAUGUUACCAGCAAAAGGAUGGACCAUGGUGGAAUGUGAAAUUUGCAAGGAAUGGUUUCAUUCGAUGUGUGUUGACAAUUUCCCUGAAAAUGAGAAUGAAACAUGGUUAUGUAAGUCUUGUAAAUGAUAAAUGUAAUAUCUUUGUAAACUUUUGUUGGAAUGAGAAGAUGUAGCUGCAUACUCAGAGCAAUGCUUGCACAUUGUACAAAAAGUAUUUGCCAAUACCUUUCUUACUGUUUAAACUUCUCGUCACACUUGUUCUAUGUUAGUCAAAGUCAAACACCUGUAGGGGAGAACGGGGUCAACUUGGACACGGGUCAUAUUGGACAAAGACCCUAAGUGCUACAUGUUAUGAAAAAAAAAAUUUUUUUUUUAAUUUUUGUAUA